rnacentral:rRNA from 1 species
GAUGAACGCUGGCUACAGGCUUAACACAUGCAAGUCGAGGGGAAACGGCGUUGAGUGCUCGCACUCUUCGGACGUCGACCGGCGCACGGGUGAGUAACGCGUAUCCAACCUUCCCGUCACUGCGGGAUAACCUGCCGAAAGGCAGACUAAUACCGCAUGGCCUUCACUGACGGCAUCAGAGGUGAAGUAAAGCUUUUUAGCGGUGACGGACGGGGAUGCGUCUGAUUAGCUGGUUGGCGGGGCGACGGCCCACCAAGGCUACGAUCAGUAGGGGUUCUGAGAGGAAGGUCCCCCACAUUGGAACUGAGACACGGUCCAAACUCCUACGGGAGGCAGCAGUGAGGAAUAUUGGUCAAUGGGCGCAAGCCUGAACCAGCCAAGUAGCGUGCAGGACGACGGCCCUAUGGGUUGUAAACUGCUUUUGUACGGGGAUAAAACGGCGGACGUGUCCGUCCUUGCAGGUACCGUACGAAUAAGGACCGGCUAAUUCCGUGCCAGCAGCCGCGGUAAUACGGAAGGUCCGGGCGUUAUCCGGAUUUAUUGGGUUUAAAGGGAGCGUAGGCCGGGGAUUAAGUGUGUUGUGAAAUGUAGACGCUCAACGUCUGACUUGCAGCGCAUACUGGUUCCCUUGAGUACGCACAACGUUGGCGGAAUUCGUCGUGUAGCGGUGAAAUGCUUAGAUAUGACGAAGAACUCCGAUUGCGAAGGCAGCUGACGGGGGCGCAACUGACGCUUAAGCUCGAAGGUGCGGGUAUCGAACAGGAUUAGAUACCCUGCUAGUCCGCACGGUAAACGAUGGAUGCCCGCUGUUGGUACCUGGUAUCAGCGGCUAAGCGAAAGCAUUAAGCAUCCCACCUGGGGAGUACGCCGGCAACGGUGGAACUCAAAGGAAUUGACGGGGGCCCGCACAAGCGGAGGAACAUGUGGUUUAAUUCGAUGAUACGCGAGGAACCUUACCCGGGGCUUGAAUUGCAGGAGAACGAUACAGAGAUGUUGAGGUCCCUCGGG